AUUGAACGCUGGCGCCAUGCUUUACACAUGCAAGUCGAACGGUAACAGGGUGCUUGCACCGCUGACGAGUGGCGAACGGGUGAGUAAUACAUCGGAAGGUACCCAGUAAUGGGGGAGAACGCUUCGAAAGGAGCGCUAAUCCCGCAUACGCCCUGAGGGGGAAAGUGGGGGCCCGCAUGGCCUCACGCUAAUGGAGCAGCCGAUGGCUGAUUAGCUGGAUGUUGAGGUAAAGGCUCACCAAGGCGACGAUCAGUAGCGGGUCUGAGAGGACGAUCCGCCACACUGGAACUGAGACCCGGUCCAGCCUCCUACGGGAGGCAGCAGUGGGGAAUCUUGGACAAUGGGCGAAAGCCUGAUCCAGCAAUGCCGCGUGCGUGAGGAAGGCCUUCGGGUUGUAAAGCGCUUUUGUCUGGGAGCAAAUCCUGGCCUCUAAUACAGGUCGGGGAUGAGAGUACCAGAAGAAUAAGGACCGGCUAACUACGUGCCAGCAGCCGCCGCAGUAA
rnacentral:rRNA from 1 species